AUUGAACGCUGGCGGCAGGCCUAACACAUGCAAGUCGAACGGUAGCACAGAGAGCUUGCUCUCGGGUGACGAGUGGCGGACGGGUGAGUAAUGUCUGGGAAACUGCCCGAUGGAGGGGGAUAACUACUGGAAACGGUAGCUAAUACCGCAUAACGUCGCAAGACCAAAGUGGGGGACCUUCGGGCCUCACACCAUCGGAUGUGCCCAGAUGGGAUUAGCUAGUAGGUGGGGUAAUGGCUCACCUAGGCGACGAUCCCUAGCUGGUCUGAGAGGAUGACCAGCCACACUGGAGCUGAGACACGGUCCAGACUCCUACGGGAGGCAGCAGUGGGGAAUAUUGAACAAUGGGCGCAAGCCUGAUGCAGCCAUGCCGCGUGUGUGAAGAAGGCCUUCGGGUUGUAAAGUACUUUCAGCGGGGAGGAAGGCGGUGGAGUUAAUAACUUCACCGAUUGACGUUACCCGCAGAAGAAGCACCGGCUAACUCCGUGCCAGCCGCCGCCGUAA
rnacentral:rRNA from 1 species